rnacentral:rRNA from 1 species
CGCUAAAUAGCUAGCCCACCCAACCAAAAACAACAACUCAUUAUUAAUAACC